UACGUAGGGUGCAAGCGUUGUCCGGAAUUAUUGGGCGUAAAGAGCUCGUAGGCGGUUUGUCGCGUCUGCUGUGAAAACUCAGGGCUUAACCCUGAGCCUGCAGUGGGUACGGGCAGACUAGAGUGUGGUAGGGGAGAUCGGAAUUCCUGGUGUAGCGGUGGAAUGCGCAGAUAUCAGGAGGAACACCGGUGGCGAAGGCGGGGUCUCUGGGCCGAUGAUCGACGCUGAGGAGCGAAAGCGUGGGGAGCGAACAGG
rnacentral:rRNA from 1 species